UACGGAGGAUCCAAGCGUUAUCCGGAUUUAUUGGGUUUAAAGGGUGCGUAGGUGGCCUAUUAAGUCAGGGGUGAAAGACGGUGGCUUAACUAUCGCAGUGCCUUUGAUACUGAUGGGCUUGAAUACAGUUGAAGUGGGCGGAAUGUGACAAGUAGCGGUGAAAUGCAUAGAUAUGUCACAGAACACCGAUUGCGAAGGCAGCUCACUAAAGUGUGAUUGACACUGAGGUACGAAAGCGUGGGGAUCAAACAGG
rnacentral:rRNA from 1 species